rnacentral:snRNA from 1 species
AUACUUACCUAGCAGGGAAGCUGCCAUGAUCAUGGAGGUGGUUUUCUCAAGGUGGGGCUCAGCCAUUGCACUCUGGUUGUGCUGACCCCUGCAAUUCCCCCAAAUGUAGGAAACUCGACUGCAUAGUUUGUGGUAGUGGGAGACUGUGUUUGUGCUUUACCCUA